rnacentral:tRNA from 1 species
GUCGUCGUAGCUCAGCAGGUUGGAGCGCUUCCCUGAUUAGGAAGAGGUCGGCGGUUCGAGUCCGCCCGGCGACA